rnacentral:other from 1 species
GUUCCCCUGCUGUGUUCGUGAUUCCGACUGGAAGCUGUUGAGCCAACGCAACGGUAAAUGGGAGCCUUCCCUGGCCCCGGACCGAGCUCCCCCCCGCGGGGAACCGACGAAGGGACCACAGGGCGCCCACCUUUCCAUCCGAGGUUCAACCGAACCUUAAGGAACACGGCACAAGCGGGGGACUU